UUACCAGGCCGGGCCCCUCUGACAGUUCCCUGAACUGUGAUGUCGGACUGGAGAC
rfam:Azospirillum brasilense Sp245 plasmid AZOBR_p3 complete genome